UACGAAGGGGGCUAGCGUUGCUCGGAAUCACUGGGCGUAAAGCGCACGUAGGCGGCUUUUUAAGUCAGGGGUGAAAUCCUGGAGCUCAACUCCAGGACUGCCUUUGAUACUGGGAAGCUUGAGUCCGGGAGAGGUGAGUGGAACUCCGAGUGUAGAGGUGAAAUUCGUAGAUAUUCGGAAGAACACCAGUGGCGAAGGCGGCUCACUGGCCCGGUACUGACGCUGAGGUGCGAAAGCGUGGGGAGCAAACAGG
rnacentral:rRNA from 1 species